rnacentral:tRNA from 2 species
GCUUGCUUGGCCGAGCGGUCCAAGGCGUACGCUUCAGGCGCGUAUCCAACAGGGCGUGGGUUCGAACCCCACAGCAAGCA